AUGGGUUCCCUCACAGGUUCUUCUUGGGUGAUGAGCUUGUGUGGGAGCCCAAUAUGCUCCGACCAAGAUGUGGCCUCAUGUGCGUUCAAGGAGAUACUCGACGCCUCCACCUGCCUGAAUCAUCUAGUGGCAACCGGCAUCGCCGCGCUGCUCUUGUUGGUGCUCGCGCUCCAGCUGCUUGUGAAAAUUCCCAAGAGCAGAGCGUCUGCGCGGCAGCUCGUCACGCUCAGCUCACCGCUGCACCUAUCUGCUGUGGUGUUCAGUGGCACCUUGGGUUUGGUUUAUCUUGGGCUUGGAUUGUGGAUGCUGGGGAGUGGCUUCAAUCAGGAUGGUUCUGCUUACCUUCCACAUUGGUGGCUUGUGACAGUAUGUCAGGGACUGAAUCUGGUCCUCACCAGCUUUGCUUUCAGCAUCAGGCCUCGGUUUCUUGGAGCGGCAUUUGUCCGAUUUUCGCCGGUCUUGCUGGUCCUCUAUGCAGCAUUCAUCUGUUCUUCUUCAGUCGUUGAUAUUGUUGCAGAGAAGGCGCUGACUGUUAAGGCCUGUUUAGAUGUUUUGUCCCUACCAGGUGCAGUUCUCAUGCUUAUUUAUGGCAUUCGGCACAGCCAUGAUGAGGAGGGACACAUUGGAAGUGGAAAUGGUUUAUACAAGCCUCUGAACACAGAGGCAGACAGUGAGGUAGCUGAUUCUGACAGUCAGGUAACCCCCUUUGCUAAAGCUGGUUUUUUCAGCAGGAUGUCGUUUUGGUGGUUGAAUCCUCUGAUGAAGAUGGGAUAUGAGAAGCCCCUUGAGGACAAAGACAUGCCACUUUUAGGCGCCACAGAUCGAGCACAGAACCAGUACUUGAUGUUCAUGGAGAAGCUGAACCGCGAAAAGCAGUCGCCAUCGCACGCCACACCAUCAUUCUUCUGGACUAUUGUUUCUUGUCACAAGCGUGCCAUCUUGGUCUCAGGUUUCUGUGCUUUGCUUAAAGUUCUCACCUUGUCUACUGGCCCAGUGCUUCUCAAGGCAUUCAUCAAUGUAUCACUUGGGAAAGGGUCCUUUAAAUACGAAGGCUUUGUGCUUGCUGUGGUCAUGUUCGUCUGCAAAUUCUGUGAAUCGUUGUCACAGAGACAGUGGUAUUUUCGCACUCGGAGAUUAGGAUUGCAGGUGAGGUCAUUUCUGUCAGCAGCCAUUUAUAAGAAACAGCAGAAGCUAUCAAAUGCAGCAAAAAUGAAGCACUCUUCUGGAGAAAUUAUGAACUAUGUGACUGUCGAUGCCUACCGGAUUGGGGAAUUUCCGUACUGGUUCCAUCAAACAUGGACAACAAGUGUUCAACUUUGCAUUGCUCUGGCAAUUCUAUACAAUGCGGUUGGCGCUGCAAUGCUUUCAUCAUUAGUUGUAAUCAUCAUCACAGUGCUUUGCAACGCGCCAUUGGCCAAACUGCAACACAAAUACCAGAGUAAGCUUAUGGAAGCACAAGAUGUGAGAUUGAAGGCCAUGACCGAGUCAUUAGUUCAUAUGAAGGUCUUGAAACUUUAUGCAUGGGAAGCUCACUUCAAGAAGGUCAUUGAGGGGUUGAGAGAGGUUGAGUACAAGUGGUUGACAGCAUUCCAGCUUAGGCGGGCAUACAACAGUUUCCUGUUCUGGUCAUCACCUGUUCUGGUUUCGGCAGCAACCUUUCUAACAUGCUAUCUUCUGAAAAUUCCUCUUGAUGCUAGCAAUGUCUUCACCUUCGUGGCAACUCUGCGUCUCGUGCAAGACCCAAUCAGGCAAAUACCAGAUGUUAUUGGUGUCGUGAUACAAGCUAAGGUCGCGUUCACUCGGAUAUCGAAGUUCCUUGAUGCUCCUGAGCUAAACGGGCAAGCUAGAAAGAAAUACUAUGUUGGCAUUGAUUACCCUUUAGCGAUGAAUUCGUGCAGUUUCUCAUGGGAUGUGAAUCCAUCAAAACCAACUCUGAAGAACAUAAAUCUGGCAGUCAAAGCGGGAGAAAAGGUUGCCAUUUGUGGAGAGGUAGGAUCAGGAAAGUCCACGCUUUUGGCUGCUGUGCUCGGAGAGGUCCCCAAGACUGAAGGCACGAUCCAAGUCUGUGGGAAAAUAGCAUAUAUUUCUCAGAAUGCAUGGAUCCAAACAGGAACCGUGCAAGACAAUAUUCUCUUUGGAUCGUCGAUGGACAGGGAAAGAUACCACAACACACUUGCGAGGUGCUCAUUGGUCAAGGACCUUGAAAUGUUGCCAUAUGGAGAUUGUACUCAAAUUGGGGAGAGAGGAGUAAACCUUAGUGGUGGUCAGAAGCAGCGCGUCCAGCUUGCUCGUGCACUAUACCAAAAUGCAGACAUCUAUCUUCUUGAUGAUCCUUUCAGUGCUGUUGAUGCCCAUACAGCCACAAGUCUAUUCAAUGAAUAUGUCAUGAGCGCUCUAUCGGACAAGACUGUUCUCUUGGUGACGCACCAAGUGGAUUUCCUACCCGUAUUUGACUCCAUUUUGUUAAUGUCAGAUGGAGAGGUUAUUCGGUCUGCACCUUAUCAAGAUCUAUUGGCAGAUUGUGAAGAAUUUAAAGACCUUGUAAAUGCCCAUAAAGAUACAAUUGGUGUUUCCGAUGUUAGUAACAAUAUAACCACUCGAAGAUCUAAGGAAGUAUCAGUAAAGGAGACAGAUGGUAUUCAUACAGAAUCUGUGAAGCCAUCACCAGCAGAUCAACUGAUCAAGAAAGAGGAAAGAGAAACAGGGGAUGCAGGUGUUAAGCCUUAUAUGCUUUACCUGUGCCAGAACAAAGGCCUCCUGUAUUUCUCUUUUUGUAUUAUUUCUCACAUUAUUUUCGUAGCUGGGCAAAUAUCACAGAAUUCAUGGAUGGCUGCUAAUGUCCAAAAUCCUCAUGUUAGUACACUGAAGUUAAUUUCUGUGUACAUUAUUAUCGGAGUUUGCACAAUGUUCUUCUUGCUAUCAAGAUCUUUGGCAGUCGUUGUUCUUGGGAUCCAGACAUCACGAUCCUUAUUUUCCCAGCUACUCAAUUCAUUAUUCCGUGCACCAAUGUCCUUUUUUGAUUCUACUCCUCUAGGAAGGGUUCUUAGCCGGGUCUCUUCAGAUUUGAGUAUCGUUGACCUUGAUGUUCCAUUUGCUUUUGUGUUUAGCCUUGGUGCCAGCUUAAAUGCAUAUAGCAAUCUAGGGGUACUGGCUGUUGUUACAUGGCAAGUUCUGUUUGUAUCUGUGCCAAUGAUAGUUUUGGCAAUUAGGCUGCAGAGGUACUAUCUAGCCUCGGCCAAGGAACUGAUGCGGAUCAAUGGUACCACCAAGUCCGCUCUAGCGAAUCACUUAGGUGAAUCGAUUGCAGGGGCUAUAACCAUAAGGGCCUUUGAGGAAGAAGAUCGUUUCUUCGCUAAAAAUUUGGACCUUGUUGACAAGAAUGCCAGCCCAUAUUUCUAUAAUUUUGCAUCAACUGAAUGGUUAAUUCAACGUCUGGAGAUAAUGAGUGCCGCAGUUCUUUCCUUUUCUGCCUUUGUCAUGGCCCUUCUUCCUCAAGGAACGUUUAGCCCUGGUUUUGUGGGAAUGGCAUUGUCCUAUGGUCUUUCCCUAAAUAUGUCAUUUGUUUUCUCUAUUCAAAACCAAUGCAACCUGGCGAAUCAAAUAAUCUCGGUGGAACGGGUGAACCAGUACAUGGACAUACAAAGUGAAGCCGCAGAAGUUGUUGAGGAAAAUCGACCAUCACCAGAUUGGCCUCAAGAUGGUAAUGUGGAGCUUAGAGAUUUGAAGAUCAGGUAUAGGGAAGAUGCUCCCCUUGUACUACAUGGAAUCACUUGCAGGUUUGAAGCUGGAAAUAAGAUUGGUAUAGUUGGUCGAACAGGAAGUGGCAAGACAACAUUAAUUGGUGCAUUGUUUCGUCUUGUUGAACCCGCCGAAGGGAAAAUAAUUAUAGACUCUGUCGACAUCAGUACAAUAGGCUUGCAUGACCUGCGUUCGCGUUUGGGUAUCAUUCCACAAGAUCCAACACUUUUUCAGGGUACAGUAAGAUACAAUCUAGAUCCUCUUGGGCAAUUCUCAGAUCAACAAAUAUGGGAGGUUCUUGACAAAUGUCAACUUCUUGAAGCUGUCCAGGAGAAGGAACAGGGAUUGGAUUCACAUGUUGUGGAAGACGGGUCGAACUGGAGUAUGGGUCAAAGGCAGCUCUUUUGUCUGGGACGUGCACUUUUGAGAAGAUGCCGCAUCUUAGUUCUUGAUGAAGCGACAGCCUCUAUAGACAAUGCAACAGAUGCUGUCCUUCAGAAAACGAUCCGGACAGAAUUCAAAUACUGCACCGUUAUUACAGUUGCACACCGUAUACCAACAGUUAUGGACUGCGAUAUGGUACUUGCAAUGAGCGAUGGGAAAGUAGUGGAGUAUGACAAACCUACAAAGCUCAUGGAAACUGAAGGAUCCCUCUUCCGCAAACUGGUCAACGAGUACUGGUCAUACACAUCGAAUGGAAAUAUUUAG
rnacentral:rRNA from 1 species